rnacentral:rRNA from 1 species
GACGAACCGUGCGAACGUUAUUCGGAAUCACUGGGCUUAAAGGGCGCGUAGGCGGGCCCGCAAGUCAGGGGUGAAAUCCUCCGGCUCAACCGGAGAAGUGCCUUUGAUACUGCGGGCCUCGAGGGAGGUAGGGGCGUGCGGAACUUCCGGUGGAGCGGUGAAAUGCGCAGAUAUCAGGAGGAACACCGGUGGCGAAGGCGGGUCUCUGGGCCGAUAUCGACGCUGAGGAGCGAAAGCGUGGGGAGCGAACAGG